rnacentral:lncRNA from 10 species
ACUUUCUGCACAGUCGCGGAGCUGGAAGUUUCCGGGCUUCGCGGACACGCUGGGCUGGGUUUCAGUCGCGGCUCCGAGGUUGGCAACAAAGAGGGAAAGAAGGAGGAAAAGCAGGCCGGGGAGGGGAGGAAGAGAACCGCGCGGAGGCCGCGGCGCCGAGAGCCCCAGAACUUCCAAUUCUACCCAGAAGCUUUUUUCGUCGUGUUUUUCUCUUAGGUAAACAAGCAAGUUCCACGCCCCAGUCCUGCUGGGGCCUUCGCCAGCCACCGCUCUGGGCUCAUCUCCCGGCGCCUCCUCGGGGCACCUGAGCGUUUUAAGCCCCACUGCCAAGUGUUUUGGACACAGGUUUUUUUGCGGGGUGGUGAGGUUGGGCACAAGAUGCUUCCUAAAAGGUUGUUGGCACGCAGACCAUGGCCCCAGUGACGGAGCGGUAGGCAGGGGCUUGAGGAACACGUUGGGGAUUGGGGUGGGAGGAAUAUUUGUCUUUUGUCCCACAAACGUGUGUGAUGCUCCAAAGGGCUGGAGAACCUCUCUCUUAAGUGGAUAUUUUUCCCCUCAAACGACUUCUCAGACAUGAUCCUCUCUGAGGUUGGUCCUGGGCUUCCAUACGUGAUUCAUGGAAGAGGUCUCAGCCCCAAGAGCCCCUGAGGGUACUGUCCACUCCCCCUGGAAACUUCCAGAACCUGACGUGGGGCUGAAGACAUAGAGGCUCUGAGAGUUACAUAAUUGAUUCUGACUUUGGCUGUUGGUCAACAGUGUCAUAAGGUAAAAUAAGGCUGUUGUAGAAUCUGCUCAGCCAGGGAGGGGAAAGGAGUCGGCAAUCAGGUCUCCUCCUGGGCACCUUUGUGAGGCCAGCUGGCGAGAGUGGGGGGUGACACUGAGGUCCCAGCAGCUCCAAAUGCAGGCAGAGCCCUGUCCUCAGAGAAGGUCACAGCCUAGCCAAGCCCAGCCAGGUGGAUGGGCCCACGGAACGCACAGGAACCUGGAACGGAGGUUGAAAGCAGGAAGCACAGUCUGUGACUCCCCAGCCCACUCUGCAUUCGACCACUUGGGGCCCAGAAGCUUCAGGAAAGGUGCACAAGGUCACUGGGUCCCAGUACUCCCAACAGGAAGGUCUGGUCCAGGGACAGGGCUCUUCCCGACUCCCCUUAGCCACACGCACCAGAAGUUCUGCAGUGCCCAGUGGGCAUAGCAGUCCCCAAGAAUGACCCAGCACUGAAGCUGAGCCAAAGAACUUGGGGAGCGAGCCACACCCCCUCACUCCCUCUUCGCCUGCUCCAGACUUGCCAGGCGGUUGCUUUUCGUGGGAACCGGGAUGUCCUCACCACCCUGUCCAGGGCCCAGCCCCAUGUCCCUGGCCUGCUACAGCUGGAAAAAAAAAAGAGA